UACGGAGGGUGCAAGCGUUAAUCGGAAUUACUGGGCGUAAAGCGUGCGCAGGCGGUGCGCCAAGCUCGAUGUGAAAGCCCCGGGCUUAACCUGGGAAUGGCAUUGAGGACUGUGUGGCUUGAGUGCGGCAGAGGGAGGUGGAAUUCCACGUGUAGCAGUGAAAUGCGUAGAUAUCGGGAGGAACAUCAGUGGCGAAGGCGGCCCUCUGGUCCAGUACUGACACUCAAGUGCGAAAGCGUGGGGAGCAAACAGG
rnacentral:rRNA from 1 species